rnacentral:rRNA from 1 species
UACCCUUGACAUGCCACUAACGAAGCAGAGAUGCAUUAGGUGCUCGAAAGAGAAAGUGGACACAGGUGCUGCAUGGCU